GAGCUGCCUUUAAAGAUCAUGAACAUGUUUAGUAAUUCAUCUGAGAGGAAAUGCUCAGUAUCAGUGCAUAUAGAAAAUGUACUAAAAACAUUCCUUUAAAGAGAUUAUUACAUUGUUAUUAUUUCACUUAGGUUGCUAAUACUAGAGAUAGUCUGAAAAUGCUUCAAAUGAGGAAAUAAGUGCAGUAUUUUCUCCUGCACCAUUACCUGCUCUGUUUUUCCCUCCUCUGUGACCUUGGUGCAAUCUGUUAAACACUACAAGUACUUAAUGUGAUAACUCCACGAUUUGUAAUAGGGACAAUGUUUGGAAUACAAGGAGCAAGUGGCAGGAUGGCACUUCACUUUGAUGGCACUUCACCGGUAUCUCGCCGCAUAUGCUGAUCUCUGCAGUGUUUACCACCAGUGUGCUCAGUGAAACACCAAGUCAUCAUUUGUGCUUGGAUUAUAGCAAAGCUUAAAGCUAUUUGCCUAUUACUUACAGAAGGCAGAAAAGAAACACCUCAAGGUAUGCUCAAAACAGAACUUCACGGCCAACUCUGCCUGGAGCUACUUUUGUCAGAGCAGCUGGAAUUGUUUUAAUUAUAGUUCUUAUAAUCAUCAUUGUAAUUGACUACUGUCUCUUCUGCAGAGAAGAAAAACAUGAUGGGCAUUCAAAUAUCUAAAAUAAAAAGCCCAGAAAAACUAUCAUUAUUCAUGGACUGCAACUGAGUUUGCACCUUCUGCUACUUCUGAUAACAGCUGUUGGAAGACACCAUGAAAGCACUGUUUUACAACCCUUCUUACUUUGUUAUUUGCACUAUGUUCAGCUGUUGGAAGACACCAUGAAAGCACUGUUUUACAACCCUUCUUUGUUACUUGCACUAUGUUUUAACCCUGUGGUUUAUGGUCAGUGAAACAAAGAGCUGCAAACCAAGCUAUUCAAGGGGUGAAGACUUGGUGCAAUUACUCAAUACAUGGCAAACAUUAAUGACACAGCAGCUAUUUAGUUUUGCUGAGUUAGGUGAGUGAUCUUACAUGUAAAAUUCUAACUUUCCACUUUCUAAGAAAUUAUGAUCAUCAGGACUGUAAAAUAAAGGAGAAAGCCUUAGAUACACCUGCACAAAGUGUUUUUAUGACACUGACUGGAACUUAAGGGAAGUUGAACUGCUUCGUUCCUUUAACAAUUUUCAUAUUCUUGUUAUUAUGACUCUACUACUAUGAAGCUGCUAUGAAACAAGAUCAAGCAGAAGACAGAGUACGACUUGGCAUGUGAGAAUGCUGCAGGUUUGCCAAAUGAAAUCUAAAACAGGAUUUAUUUUAAAAGAAAUGAAAACCUACUUUCACUGGCAGUGAAAGUUAUGACUACAAAGAAUACGAUGGAGUCUAUCUGAAGGACCACUAAAAUUGCUGUACUUGAGGAAAAGAUAUGCGUAUUUACGUCUCUGGCUUCCUUACAUUCAUUGUAUGCUCUGGAAGGUCCAGAGGUUGCCUUUUGAAGUAAGUGUUGAAUCAGAGCAGGAGAGACAAGAAGAGUCCUGCUACAGGGAGGUGGGGGAAAGUCCAAGCUGACAGGUGGAAAAAAGUACUGUCUGCAUGAAGACUGGAGUAACAUGGCCUGUUCUGAGUAUCACUUAACUGCAUUGCAAGUACAGGACCAGAAUUAGAAUAACUGCAAACUGAAACCUGAAUAGUGGUGGAAACAGUCAUCUCUACAGAAUUCUGGUAACACAAGCUGUGUGAUCGAUGGGGUCUCUCUUCUGAGUGUCUUGUUCACACGCACUUGUCCUGGCAAGGAGCCCUAGGUCCUGGAUAUCAGGAAGCAGUUCACAGUUUUUCCUUUCUGUGGCUUCUUUGGGGUUACAGCCCCAGGACUGACUUAAGGUCAGUCACUAAUGCAGAUUUAUGGUGGCUGUCACAACAAUAGUAAUUUUGGUAUCUUUUAAAGGCAGAGUUUGCAGUUAAAGUAAAUUCCAGUUGAUAAAACUUUAGAUAAUAUCAGAUUUUAUGCAGUUUAAUCAUAGUGAGAUGAUUGUAGGCCACAAGCUAAGGCAAUCACAGACUUUCUCAAACAAGUAUGCUCAGCAUGUUAUAUUUGUCAAGACACUAAACAUUCCAAGAUCAUCAAAUCCUUUUCUCCCACAGAGCUCUUCCUUAUAAAAGUAAGAGGUAAUGCCAGUAGAAUCUUUGUCAGGUAGGCAAAAGCUAAUAAGGGAUGUAGCUAAUUUCUGACUUUCUCCUUAUCCCUUAUGAGAGCUCUAAAAAGCUCUCUUAAGCUACUUUUGCUUUGUUGUGUUUUUAUGCUUUAAAUGCAUAAUGCUAAAUACACUAUUUUGUCUCUGCUCUUCCUCUGCAUUUGUAAAACGGACAUUGGUCCACUAUUCCCUGGUUAUAGUGGCAGAGAACCUCAGAGAGCAGCAGCGACCAACCUGCUCACCCACAGUGAGUAACCACAGGCUAAAAAUGACUGAGAACUACAUGCUAUGUAGAAAAGACACACAGAAACCAAUUGUCCUUGUGGUGGUCCUUCUCCCUUCAGUGGAUUAUGAUGGUUUAUUUGUAUAUUCUCCACUGUAAAUGGAGAGGAUGUCUUCUGAUGGUUUACACAGAGGAUUUCAGAGUAGUGACAGUUGUUGGUGGUCUCAUUUCUCAUUUCAGAGAAUAUAGACAGAAACACCUUGGAGUGUAUCUUCAAGGUUGCCUUCUGUGGUGGUGCAUCCUUCCCCACUCCCUGGGCUGCACUAUCAUCUCAGAAACACCCAUUAAGCUUCGUCCUUGAUGAACAGCACCUGGACUAAGCUCCUCUUGAACUUGUCAGAAACUCUGUCAGGUCCUGUUUUUCAAAAAAUAGCCUUGGAAAAUUAGUGCUCAAGCCUGCAUAGCAACCUUGAGUAGAACAACAUUUUUAUUAUCAAACUUUCGAAGAAAGUCACUGACCCUAAUUGUGGCCAGGAUGGAAAAUUACUAUGACUAAAGCCAACUCUUCUGCAACCCUAUAAACAGUUGUCCUAAGUGAGACCCUUUGAGCUGUCCUGGACCAGAGCAGGACACGCUUGGAGCAGGUGAACUCUCAUGUUGGCUCUACUUGGGGUACCUCUGCCAAACACUGCCAGUGUACCAGUGGACCAGUCAUUUGUGACACUUUCAUGACAGAUGUUCUACAGUCCUGCAGAGCUUUUCAACACUUUCCAGGAAGGUCUCUCAGGCAAUGUGGUUCUGCCCACAUGUAAAGAUAGGUUGGGAUAUUUUACAGAUGUGGGUUGAAAUCAGUGAUUGGGCCUAAAUAGAGAUUACACAGCAGUUUAAUAGGGCAGCAGAUAAAUUAUUUUCCACAGGAGCUGACAUCUACCAGCAGUAACUGCAAUCGUGAUUAGUUUUCCAAACUUUAAAUUUUUUCAGGAGAAAGUAUGCUUUUACAUGUAUUUUUACCUUUUAGUGUUCCUACUCAGAAGUAAAGCUGGCAUCAAGUAUCAUGAAUAUUUUCUCUCAGUGCCUUCCACUCAAAAGGCAAUAGGUUUAGGUGAUACAUUCUGUUUUCUGUAUUUGCAAGCACAGUGAGUGGUCAGGUCUCUGACAGUGAAACACUGUGCUUUUCAGUGCAUUUUUCAUUGAUAACAAAAAUCCUGAAAAUCGAGUUAUGCCCUUGCUUAUGUCUGCUCAGCCUGGCUGCCUAGACCUAGAGCCCAGGACCAUACUGACUUCAUGGAAUUUGCAGUGAUGUAACAGUUUGAAAUUCAGCUUGAGAAAAAAAUGAAAUACAUUCUCCACUGAGUAAAGAGAAGUUGGACUUCCAACUUCUCUUUAUUACUUCUCUUUAUUAUUGCUUUCCAAAACAGAUUCCCUUGCAGUUAGAUGUUUCCAACAAAACUGGUUAGCACAUUGCUGGAAAAAGAUUUUGUGAUCAUGUUUUUUUUGUAUUGUUCUGUUUUGUCAGUGUGGUUCAGAACACAAAGGCUAUUGUUUAAAAAACCAUGAAUGUUA